rnacentral:rRNA from 2 species
AGACCCGAAACCCGGUGAUCUAGCCAUGGGCAGGUUGAAGGUUGGGUAACACUAACUGGAGGACCGAACCGACUAAUGUUGAAAAAUUAGCGGAUGACCUGUGGCUGGGGGUGAAAGGCCAAUCAAACCGGGAGAUAGCUGGUUCUCCCCGAAAGCUAUUUAGGUAGCGCCUCGUGAAUUCAUCUCCGGGGGUAGAGCACUGUUUCGGCUAGGGGGCCAUCCCGGCUUACCAACCCGAUGCAAACUGCGAAUACCGGAGAAUGUUAUCACGGGAGACACACGGCGGGUGCUAACGUCCGUCGUGAAGAGGGAAACAACCCAGACCGCCAGCUAAGGUCCCAAAGUCAUGGUUAAGUGGGAAACGAUGUGGGAAGGCCCAGACAGCCAGGAUGUUGGCUUAGAAGCAGCCAUCAUUUAAAGAAAGCGUAAUAGCUCACUGGUCGAGUCGGCCUGCGCGGAAGAUGUAACGGGGCUAAACCAUGCACCGAAGCUGCGGCAGCGAACGUAUCACUUAAAGCGAUUCAGCGGGUUACGAUUGACGGAGCGAAGCGACGUCAAAGCGUAUACAAAGUCGAGUCGGUUUAAGGAUACGUUCGUUGGGUAGGGGAGCGUUCUGUAAGCCUGUGAAGGUGGCCUGUGAGGGUUGCUGGAGGUAUCAGAAGU